CCUGGCCCCACUUCUCAGAUUGUGUUUCACACUUCAGUCCAAAUUGGCAAGAUAUGUUGAAGAUUUGAAGUAAAUGGUGAGGUUAAUCUGGGGAAGUUAAUCCUGCAGUAUAUAAUUUAUAAACAUGAGGAUGGAAAGGCUAGCUAUAAGGUCAAAAGUUCAAAGGGAAUAUUUGCUCCUAGUCUGUGAGAUGAGAACAAAGACAACCAG